ensembl:lncRNA
CGCUCGUUCACAAUAAAGAUACAAAAAUAAUUUAUUAGAAGAGAGGGGAAAAGUCUUGCCAGAUAAGAAAUACAAUGUGAGUUUCUUGAACUGUACAGAAGUUUGCCAUCAGCAACAGAUGAUCCCAGAGCCCAUGGAUUUAAAGCAAACUGGCAUUUUAUCAUAUCUCCUAUUGGUAACGACUCACUGAAACUUCUAUCCUCCAAUUCUACAGGUUAACGAAAAGAGUUGUUAGAAAUCAAAUUUCCAUCUUCUAUCUAUCUCUUUAUUUUCUCUUGGCAUACAGCACUAACUUUACUUACGUACAUAGCUAACAUUCUUCUUCAGACUGUCAUCUUGCUUGUAAGCACUGAAAACCCUUUAUUUGGCUGUGCUAUUCUCCCUGUAUCCCUUUAGAGAGCUACUACAAAAAUAAUUUUCCUUGCUUUACUUACAUCUGCUUCUCUCACAUCCUUUUUGCCAUGUCAAACACAGGCCAUUUAGCUUUGAUUGCAAGUCCCUUUACUGUUCCCAUCCCACCCACGAUGCUGAUUUCCAAAGGACUGCAGCACCUGCCUCCAUUUCCAGCUUCUAAAAUGAAGAAAUACUUUCAUGCUAUCUCCUACUUUGUUUCAGAUAUCUGAAAGUAGUUCAAACAUCUGUUAAGCUUUCUUUUUAAGUCAUUCUUCAAGGCUCUCUCAGUCCUGAGUCCUAUCUAUUAUUUUUACAUCCAUCACAUCAAUUAAGGAAGUUCUUAUUACAACUGUGUACUGUUGUGUUCACUACUAUGUUCACAUCAUGUGCCUAUGGAAAAUUCAGGCAUCUACUUCUGGACUAACCCCCACCAUUCAUAAACUCUUCUUGGUUCUGAUACCAUCCUCUUGCUUUGAACUUAGUGGGGAAAUCCAGCACUCACAUGGAGCUCCUUGAAGCUAUAGAAGCAGCAGGGAACAACAACAACAACAAAACACCUUUCCUCCCCCCCCUCAGUUAUGCAGAAUUACUGUACAGUUGCUAUGUGAUUUAUCAGCCGAGACCUCACAAGGGAACAGAUGAGACUACGCCAGGGAAAUAACUGCAAGUCACAGAGGAGCAUUGUAGACUAUCCCCCCUCCAUGUUACAAAUGCUAUUCUACUACUAUUCCCUAUGUUAACCUAAACUUUGAUGUUUAUCUGCACUGCAUUAUGCCCCUACCACUCUGUAUCCCAAUUCCCCAUCCCUGCAUAACUCCUCGCGUGAUCUUCACAGAGAAUUCAGCAGGCCGGUACCUGCCGCCGAAGACCCGAAGCAUUGCUGCUUUGUGGUGCUGCUGCUGCCUGACGCACCGCUCAGCGGCCCCGCAGCACGCAGCCAGCCCCGCUGCCGCCCGGCGCGUAGCCGGGAAGCCCAGCGCACAGCGACCGCAUCCGGCUUCCGUCGAGCGCCCCUGCCGGCUGCGGGACGGGCGGGGGCAGAGCUCCCUCCUACCUUUUUUCUUUCUUUCUUUCCUUUUUUUUUUUUUUUUUUUUUUUUUUUUUUUAAAUAAGAAAUUAAAACACUGUCAGACAAGAACAUCUGAACCGUUCCCAGAGAGGGAAUAGUCAAUAAGGAAGACUGCAACAAAGGAAAGCAGCAACUUACACAAAAUAUUCACGUGUAACAGAAUAAAAAGUGUCAUGUAAUUGGAAUUGUUCUGCAAUCUAAUCCUAAUAUGAAAAAUCCACAUUCAGUAUCAUUGCUUCAGUCUGGCAUCAGCAAUAGGGGGGGGUGGGGGAGAUAUGGAAACCCCAUAUAAUUCAGUUAGUACUCCAGUAUUCUUCUUUGAAGCAUUUGCAAAAGAUUAAACUAUUUUGGUCUCCUCUAAGCACAUAAGGUACAGGGAAUAGCUCUUCCUUUCCCCAUUAAGUUAUAAAAUAUUCAAGUUCUAUUGUGCCUAGAGAUGAGAAUUUUCCUUAGUCCAUAUGUUUGCAAUACUUUGACUUAAUCAGAACAAUGAUGCUCAAGGAGAUUCUGUGAUCAGAAACCUGUUCAACAAGAGGCAGCAUGCUAAUAAGUUAUCAGGUAAGUCACAACAUGAGUAUUUAUACAUACACAAAGCAGUAUCACUCAACUUCUGUUAUUUACUGUUGCUUUUGCCCACACAACUUGCAAAGCGUUAACUCUGUAGCUGAUGCCCAGCUUUUCAGUUUAUGCAGGCACAGACUAGAUGAAAAACUAUUUCUAGGAGGAAUAAGCUAAAGGACAUGCAUAAAAACAAAAUACACUUGAUCCUUCAACUUCCUGCAACUGAACAAAGAGUGUGUAUUAUAACAGAUGUUAGCACACCCUCUUUUUCCCAAGUGGAAUGAGAAGAGGACCAAAACAUGCAAAAAGGAGCAAUCCGCAACAGUAACAAAAAAAAUAAUCUUACAUUGUACAUUCAGUAAAUUUUAAACAACAGUGAAUCACAAGACUGUUAACUGUGCAUAAACCUUACCUACACAAAUUGUAAGGUAAAUAAGGUAAAGCUAAAUCCAUUCUACUUAAAGCUGCACUUAGAGUAAAACAUUAACAAUAUUUUUAAAAAUAGGCCUCCCAGAACAUUUCAUAAGACAAUAAAACCCAAGUUACAGCACUCUUCACUACUUCAGAUCCUAUUUUACCAUAGUGCACCCCUCUACUAAUCAUACGUACUCUACAAACCAAUGCCCAAAGAUAAAAAGGUCUUUCCUCAAGUCUCUGUAGUCCUUAGUAUACAUCUACCAUGCUGUAUACCUUGCUGUACCAGCAGAAUUGGAAGUUAGUUUGCCUAUAACAUUACUUCAGUCUUCUCAGGAAUAAAUAAAUAAAUAAAUAAAUGUUUCUAUCCACACAGGUACAACCCUCAGCUCACGUUUUUCCAAGAAAGUAUGGUCUAGAGUACAUAGAAGAAAAGUUAUUCUAUGACAGCUUGAGAAUCUGUGUCCACUUUUGGGCCCCUCACUGUAAGAAAGACAUCGAGGCCCUGAAGCACGUUCAAAGGGCAACAAAGCUGGUGAGGGGUCUGGAGCGCAGGCCUAAUGAGGAGCAGUUGAAGGAACUGGGAUUGUUCAGUCUAGAGAAGAGGAGGCUCAGGGGAUAAUUUAUUGCUCUCUAUAACUACCUGAAGAGAACUGGGGGCCAGCCUCUUCUCUCGUGUGACUAGUGAUAGGACUAGAGGGAAUGGCUUCAAGCUGCACCAGGGAAAAAUCAGGCUGGACGUUAGGAAAUACUACUUCUCUGAAAGGGUGGUCAGGCACUGGAAUGGGCUGCCCAGGGAGGUGGUGGAGUCACCGAGCCUGGUGGUGUUCAAAGGGCGUUUGGAUGUUGUGUUGAGGGACAUGGUUUAGUGAGAACCAUUGGUGAAGGGCAAAUGGUUGGACUGGAUGAUCCUGUGGGUCUUUUCCAACCUUAGCGAUUCUAUGAUUCU